rnacentral:rRNA from 1 species
GGGUCAUUAGGUUGGUCGUGCCACCGGUACGUACUGGUCUCACUGAUUCCUCCUUCCUGAAGAACUGUAAUGCCAUUAAUUUGGUGUUGCGGGGGAACAGGACUGUUACUUUGAAAAAAUUAGAGUGUUUAAAGCAAGCUAACGCUUGAAUACAUUAGCAUGGAAUAAUGAAAUAGGACGAUCGAUCCUAUUUUGUUGGUUUCUAGGAUUGACGUA